rnacentral:rRNA from 1 species
UUCUUACGGGGGGCUGCAGUCGAGAAUCUUGGGCAAUGCGCGAAAGCGUGACCCAGCAAUGCCGCGUGUAUGAUGAAGGCCCUCGGGUCGUAAAGUACUGUCUCCCGUGACGAAAUUUGACGGUAGCGGGGAAGGAAGCCACGGCUAACUACGUGCCAGCAGCCGCGGUAAUACGUAGGUGGCGAGCGUUGUUCGGAUUUAUUGGGCGUAAAGGGUCUGUAGGAGGUUUGUUAAAUACGGGGUGAAAUCCCGAAGCUCAACUUCGGAAUUGCCUUGUAGACUGACGAACUGGAGUACCGGAGAGGUAAGCGGAAUACCAGGUGUAGCGGUGGAAUGCGUAGAUAUCUGGUAGAACACCAAAAGCGAAGGCAGCUUGCUGGACGGAAACUGACUCUGAAAGACGAAAGCAUGGGGAGCAAACAGGAUUAGAUACCCUGGUAGUCAU